AGUGCUCACUCUGGCAGUAUGUACCGAUAAGUGACCCAGACAGAGAAGAUGAGCAUGUCCCCUGCUCGAGGGUGACAACGAACUCAUGGGGCGCUCCAUAGUUUU